AGGAGAGCGUUGCUUCAGAUUUUUCUCAGAUCAGUUAACCUGGUCUGAGGCAGAGGAAAAGUGUGUUAAGUAUGGUGGCCAUCUUGCAUCCGUCCACAAUAAAGCUGAACAAACUACAGUGAACGAAAUAUCAACGUCUGAGAUCAAAUCUUGGAUUGGGGGCGUCGGAAACCAGAUGCCUGGUAAUACUUACAGUUGGACUGAUGGCACCACAAUUGACUUCAAGAAUUGGGCAAACUCUGAGCCAAACAAUAGCGGGGAUAAUGAACACUGCAUGGACAAUGACCACUCAAAAGGCGGAAAGUGGAAUGACGAUACUUGCCACAAGAAACUGCCAUAUGUUUGUGCCGUUUAGGCACUACGAGGAACAUGACUGCAAUUUGAAGCUUCAAUUUUUCUUUUUUUCCCUGGAAAUGACAGCUUGGAGCUGCAUUUCUUGCUUCAAGCUACAUAAAAUGCAUACAUAUAAAACAUGAUUUAAAAAAUGCAUAAGCGUGUCUAUUCACCAGUGGAGGGAGGGUUGCACAUGCAUGAUGAAUAAGAAAGACUGCACCGUGAAACAUGUAGUGUUACUUCUACACCCAGAAAGUCAAUUUAAACAUCUUCUUAAGUGCUUUUGGUCUAAGAGUACUCUGCAAGUGUUGAAUUAAGAAUGUAUUUUGUACUGUAUAGGGUUCAUAAUGGGACCAAACAUUCCCCUGUGUGGUCACCAUCAGCACUGGGGGCAGUUGUGGCCUAAAGGUUGGAACAUGGAAUUGUGAAGUGUUUACCUGACGUUAAGCUUUAUUCAAAAUGAAAGUGAGUUAAUUCUGAAUUAAAUGCUUCAUGUAAACGUUGCAGCUUACAAGCCAUAAUGAAGUCUUAGCAAUUGGUGAUGGUAUUGUAUAUCCAUCCUUUGAUUGAAUGUUUUUUCGGCAUCAGAGCAUGAAACUGCAAUCCAAAGCUGCGGUUCCCUUGAGCAAUGCACUUAACUCUACAUUUCGACUGUAACCAACAUCCUGUACCUAAAUAACCACCAGUUGCUUUGGAUGAAAGUGUCAGCCACAUACUUUUGUUAUUCACCACAUUGUGUGCGCUCCCUCACAUCACUGUGACUGGAUCCAACCCAGACCACCCAUUAGCUGCUGCUGCUACUACCAGACUGUAGACUGUCUCACCCUCUUGGCCCCCCAACCUAUGACUAUCGCCCAACUACUGUAAUCAAUAAAGGCAUGAU